GCUCUAUGCUUUGGCUUCCCUGGACUAGUCGCUGUGGGAAGAACAUGUCAUUUGUAUAUUGUGCGUUUCUUCCUCCUUUCUUCCUAGAUGCAGAACAACAAGAGCCACAUCCCCAAAUUCCUGUUCCAGGCCUUAGAGUACCUGGAAAGCUCACAGACAACAAUCAGACAUUCUGCAGCCCUGUUCAUUGGAAAUACUAUCCACCAUUACUGUGACUUGUUGUCUGAAACAGUGACUGAAGAUGGCAUCUCCCGCCUGUAUGAAGCUUUUCAGGAAGUGCCUUUGACAUGUGACAGGACCACAGGGCACAUCCUCAAUAGAUAUUACAAAUGGCUGCAGAAGCUUGGAAAUCUCAUGUCGG